AGAAUCAACGCUGGCGGCGUGCCUAACACAUGCAAGUCGCACGAGAAAGUGGAGCAAUCCACGAGUAAAGUGGCGCACGGGUGAGUAACACGUGAAUAAUCUACCUCCGAGUGGGGAAUAACUGAGAGAAAUCUUAGCUAAUACCGCAUAAUACCCACGGGUCAAAGCAGCAAUGCGCUUGGAGAGGAGUUCGCGGCCGAUUAGCUAGUUGGCGGGGUAAUGGCCCACCAAGGCGAUGAUCGGUAUCCGGCCUGAGAGGGCGCACGGACACACUGGAACUGAAACACGGUCCAGACUCCUACGGGAGGCAGCAGUGGGGAAUUUUGCGCAAUGGGGGAAACCCUGACGCAGCAACGCCGCGUGGAGGAUGAAAUCCCUGGGAUGUAAACUCCUUUCGAUAGGGAAGAUAAUGACGGUACCUAUAGAAGAAGCCCGGCUAACUUCGUGCCAGCAGCCGC
rnacentral:rRNA from 1 species